rnacentral:rRNA from 1 species
UACGUAGGGUGCAAGCGUUAAUCGGAAUUACUGGGCGUAAAGCGUGCGCAGGCGGUUAUGUAAGACAGAUGUGAAAUCCCCGGGCUCAACCUGGGAACUGCAUUUGUGACUGCAUCGCUGGAGUGCGGCAGAGGGGGAUGGAAUUCCGCGUGUAGCAGUGAAAUGCGUAGAUAUGCGGAGGAACACCGAUGGCGAAGGCAAUCCCCUGGGCCUGCACUGACGCUCAUGCACGAAAGCGUGGGGAGCGAACGGG